rnacentral:rRNA from 1 species
UACGGGGGGGGCAAGCGUUGUUCGGAAUUACUGGGCGUAAAGGGCUCGUAGGUGGCCAACUAAGUCGGACGUGAAAUCCCUCGGCUUAACCGGGGAACUGCAUCCGAUACUGGAUGGCUUGAGUUCGGGAGAGGGAUGCGGAAUUCCAGGUGUAGCGGUGAAAUGCGUAGAUAUCUGGAGGAACACCGGUGGCGAAGGCGGCAUCCUGGACCGACACUGACGCUGAGGAGCGAAAGCCAGGGGAGCAAACAGG